rnacentral:rRNA from 1 species
AAUCAACGCUGGCGGCGUGCCUCAGACAUGCAAGUCGAACGAUUAAAGCUCUCUUCGGAGAGUGCAUAAAGUGGCGCACGGGUGAGUAACACGUAAGUAAUCUACCUUCGAGUGGGGAAUAACGUCCGGAACGGACGCUAAUACCGCAUAACGCAGCGGCAUCGCAAGAUGACAGUUGUUAAAGAUUUAUCGCUUGAAGAGGAGCUUGCGGCAGAUAGUCUUGUUGGUAAGGUAACGGCUUACCAAGGCUACGAUCUGUAUCCGGUCUAAGAGGACGGUCGGACACACUGACACUGAAUAACGGGUCAGACUCCUACGGGAGGCAGCAGUCGGGAA